rnacentral:rRNA from 1 species
UAGUAACGGCGAGUGAAGCGGGAACAGCUCAAAUUUGAAAUCUGGCCUUCGGGUCCGAAUUGUAAUUUGCAGAGGAUGCUUUUGGUUAGGUACUUUCCGAGUUCCCUGGAACGGGACGCCUUAGAGGGUGAGAGCCCCGUACGGUUGGAUACCGAGCCUUUGUAAAGCUCCUUCGACGAGUCGAGUAGUUUGGGAAUGCUGCUCUAAAUGGGAGGUAAAUUUCUUCUAAAGCUAAAUACCGGCCAGAGACCGAUAGCGCACAAGUAGAGUGAUCGAAAGAUGAAAAGCACUUUGAAAAGAGGGUUAAAUAGCACGUGAAAUUGUUGAAAGGGAAGCGUUUAUGACCAGACUUUUUCCAGGCGGAUCAUCCGGUGUUCUCACCGGUGCACUUCGUCUGGUUGAGGCCAGCAUCGGUUUUCGUAGAGGGAUAAAAGCAGUAGGAAUGUGAUUCCCCCGGGAAUGUUAUAGCCUAUUGUAUAAUACCUUUAUGGGGACCGAGGUUCGCGCUCUGCAAGGAUGCUGGCGUAAUGGUCAUCAACGACCCGUCUUGAAACACGGACCAAGGAGUCGAACAUUUGUGCAAGUGUUUGGGUGUUAAACCCUCACGCGUAAUGAAAGUGAACGGAGGUGAGAGCCCUUACGGGUGCAUCAUCGACCGAUCCUGAUGUUUUCGGAUGGAUUUGAGUAAGAGCAUAACUGUUCGGACCCGAAAGAUGGUGAACUAUGCGUGGAUAGGGUGAAGCCAGAGGAAACUCUGGUGGAGGCUCGCAGCGGUUCUGACGUGCAAAUCGAUCGUCAAAUCUGCGCAUGGGGGCGAAAGACUAAUCGAACCAUCUAGUAGCUGGUUACCG